rnacentral:rRNA from 1 species
AAGCUCGUAGUUGAAUUUCGGGGUUAGUAGGUUGGUCAUGCCUCUGGUAUGUACUGGUCUCACUGAUUCCUCCUUCCUUAUGAACCGUAAUGCCAUUAAUUUGGUGUUGCGGGGAAUUUGGACUGUUACUUUGAAAAAAUUAGAGUGUUUAAAGCAAGCUAACGCUUGAAUACAUUAGCAUGGAAUAAUGAAAUAGGACGUUCGAUCUUAUUUUGUUGGUUUCUAGGAUUGCGUAAUGAUUAAUAGGGAUAGUGGG